rnacentral:rRNA from 1 species
UACAGAGGGGGCCAGCGUUAUUCGGAAUUAUUGGGCGUAAAGGGCGCGUAGGCGGCUUUGCGUGUCUUUCGUGAAAUCCCUCGGCUCAACUGAGGACGUGCGGAAGAAACUGCAGGGCUGGAGUCCGGGAGAGGAGGGUGGAAUUCCCAGUGUAGCGGUGAAAUGCGUAGAUAUCAGGAAGAACACCAGUGGCGAAGGCGGCUCACUGGCCCGGUACUGACGCUCAUGUGCGAAAGCGUGGGGAGCAAACAGG